ACGCAGUGUUCAAUUUGUGCGUGUGUGUGUGUUUGCAAGGCAGGGGAAAAAGUCGCUCCAUUUUUCUCGUGCUCUCUUGCGUACGUUUGGCUUUGCAAAACAUUUUAAUGGCGAAUCGCUUAAAUAUUGAAAUAGUGUUUGCCUAAGUUUUUACAUAAGAAGCAAACACAAAAACCAGCAAAAGCACGCCGCAAAAUAAUAAGUGUCUAAUCGCAUGCAUACACCUCCCAACUGCAGAAAUUGGCCAAGCGCUAGUGUAUGUGUAACUGUGUCUGUGCGCGCGUGUGUGUAAGUGAGCAAUGAAAAAUGAGGCGUAGGUGAGGAAUGUGUGUGCAAAAUUGUCGAAAGCCUGUUAUGCCAUGCAAAACGCAGGGUCGACCAUAAGGUGUAAAUACAACUGCACUUGCAAGCCGACACACCGACAAUUAAACUUAUUUUCAUCGCGCGCGCGCCAAUGUCAGCUGAUGACCGGUUAAAUUUAAUUUGACUACAAGAUAUAUAUAUAUAUAUAAAAAAAAAAAAAAAAAAAAAACAAACAAAACAACUAAUAACUAUUGUUGUUUGUUGUCGUUGGCGUAACUUUAGCAGAAUACGUCAACCAAACUUUAUAAAAAUUGUUAGAAAUUUGUGGGGAAAAAUGUGCAAAAGUGUGUUUGUUAAAUUGUUAGCCAAAAUUAUUUGUUUACCUAGUACUACAUAGAACGUAACUGCCUUUCUUCAUCCAACAAGAACAACAAUAACAAAGAUAUUUCGACACACCGGACAAACAAACAAGCACACAAACUAAGAAACAGUAAACAUAAUACAACUGCAUUCAAUAAUAGCCAACAAAAUUUAACAAAUCACCAAGGAAAUGCUCAAAUUGAAUACUUAAAUGUCAAGCGACAGCAGCACUGAGGCCACAGCAGCAAACAACAUAACAGAAACAACAACUGUAAGCUAACAGAAGAACAACAAACAACAGAGCAACAGUAGGGCAGUUGCGAACUUUGGACUAAAGAGGAGAAGCGCAACAGUGGUAGCUGCUUGCCGUAUGCAUUGGACGCAUGCGCGACAUGCGUGGACGUUAAGUGAGUGUGCGUGUGUGUGUGUGUGUGUGCGCGCCUGUGUGUGCGUGUGUAUGCCACUGCAUGUGUGUGCACGCACAACAAAAGCAGCAUCAACAACAAACAACAAACCUGAAAAUAAAGUCCACACAUUCAACAGUUUGAACCAAA